rnacentral:rRNA from 1 species
UACGUAGGGUGCAAGCGUUAUCCGGAAUUAUUGGGCGUAAAGAGCUCGUAGGCGGUUUGUCGCGUCUGCUGUGAAAACCCGAGGCUCAACCUCGGGCCUGCAGUGGGUACGGGCAGACUAGAGUGCGGUAGGGGAGAUUGGAAUUCCUGGUGUAGCGGUGGAAUGCGCAGAUAUCAGGAGGAACACCGGUGGCGAAGGCAGCUCGCUGGGACGGUACUGACGCUGAGGCGCGAAAGCGUGGGGAGCGAACAGG